AUGCGGGGCACGGCCGGACUGUCGCUGCCGCUGCUGGUACUGGUGGUGGUGGUGGCGCUUCUGCAUGCGGCAAGCGGAGCUGGAGCGGCGGUCGGCGGAGGAUGCGAUCGGAGAUGUGGGGGCAUGGAGCUGCCGUACCCGUUCGGCUUCUCCAGCGGCUGCACGAUACGGCUCGGAUGCGACGCCGGCAUCGGCGUCGCGUGGCUCGGGGGCGCGCUCGAGCUGGGACUGCUCGUGCGCAACGUCACGCCGCGCUCGAUCAUCAUCGACCUGCAACCCGACUGCUCCCGCCGUUUCAAUACGUCCGUCGCGGCGCUCUUCUCGGACAGCUACGCGCCCGCCUCGCGGAACAUGCUCGUCGUUAGCUCGUUCGACGACUGUGCUAAUAUCAACAACUGCAGCAUCACCCCUGACAGCUUCAUAAACAGAACCUCGUCUCACUGCAGCGCCAACGAAUCCAUCAGAUGCAUCCAAGCCCCCUUGCGAAGCGGCCACCAUUUUCUGAAUAGAAGCGAGCUGCUCCGCUCGAACUGCACCGGGCUGGUGUCGUCGAUAAGCUACAGCGAUGCAAUGGGGCCAGCACUGAUGCUGGGCGCGCUGCAGCUCGACUGGUGGGUGCCGGGGCGGUGCCGCUGCUCACCCGGAGCAAAUUGCACCCAGUUCACCGCGCCGACCACGGGUCAGGAGGCGUUCCGCUGCGAAUGCCAGGAUGGGUUGGAGGGCGACGGCUUCAUCUACGGCACCGGUUGCUGGUUGACAGGCACAGCGUCCAGCGGCCAACAACGAGUGCCGUUCGGGGUCUUCGCCGCGGUUACCGCCAUCGCCGUGGUGCUACUUGUUCUCAGCAUAUCGGCUUGCCUCAUCUUCCGCCGCUGCCGAAGGCGCAAUACCAUGAAGAAAACCAAACAACCGCUGAAAGCGGUGAGUGCACUCUUCCGCGGAGAACUCGUGGACGACGAGCUCGGCCAAGGAGCUGCCGGACCCCGGCGAUUUUCAUACGACGACCUCGCUGCUGCAACUGGUAACUUCUCCGAGGACAGGGCGCUCGGAAGGGGAGGCUUUGGGUCAGUUUACCGAGGGUUCCUGAGCGACAUGAACCGUGAAGUGGCCGUCAAGAGGGUGUCCGGGACCUCUCGACAAGGAUGGAAGGAGUUCGUCUCUGAGGUGAGCAUCAUUAGCCGGCUGAGGCACAGGAACCUUGUGCAGCUCAUUGGCUAGUGCCAUGGCGGCGGCGACGAGCUCCUCCUCGUGUACGAUUUGAUGCAUAAUGGCAGCCUUGACACCCAUCUCUACAGACAAGACUCGGUGCUCAUGUGGCCGACCAGUUUGGUGCUACAAGUUUCAAAAUAUGGUUUUUUGUCAGGUAACUUGCGUUUAGAUGCAGAUACAGUCAGCCCUGCUAAUUGUGCAUGUACGUAUUCGCCGCUGCAGCGGUACGAGAUAGUGCUCGGAGUAGGUUCUGCACUUCUCUACUUGCAUCAAGACACGGAGCAGAGAGUAGUGCACAGGGACAUCAAGCCAAGCAACAUCAUGCUAGACACUUACUUCACCGCCAAGCUCGGCGACUUCGGGCUCGCAAGGCUCAUCAACGAUGGCCGGAGAUCGCACACGACUGGCAUAGCCGGCACCAUGGGGUACAUGGAUCCGGAGUGCGUGCUAGCUGGCAGGGCGAGCGUCGAGUCGGACAUGUACAGCUUCGGGAUGGUCCUCCUAGAGGUGGCUUGUGGACGGCGACCAGCUCUGGUCCAGGACGACGGCGACGUCAUCCACCUGAUGCAGUGGGUGUGUGACUUGUAUGGCGGAGGAAAGACCCUCUCAGCCGCCGAUGCACGACUCAAGGAGGAGUUCAAUGGCCUGGAGAUGGAGCGUGUGAAGGUUGUGGGGUUGUGGUGCGCGCACCCUGACCGUGGCAUGCGGCCGUCCAUCAGACAAGCCGUGAACGUGCUGCGGUUUGAAGCGUCGUCGCCAACCCUCCCGGCCAGGAUGCUGGUGGCAACCUAUGGGCCGCCGACUAUUCCUUUUAGCUCCGGAACGUUGGUCCCGAGCAGCGUCAGUGGCCGAUGA
rnacentral:rRNA from 1 species